UUUAAAUAGAACCGUAUGAGGCACAUGGCAUGAGUGCCUAGGACUAACUCUGUUUUGUUCUACAUAUGUAGCACUGUCUUUGUUCUAUGUUGCACCGUGGUCCUGGAGAGACGUUUAUACCAGACAGUAUAAAAAAAACGAGAGGAACCUAAAGCUGCUCGUUGUGUACGAUAGAGGUAAUGAUGAAUAGAAAAAGAAGCAUGGGGGGUGAUAGCACCGGCACCCUGCUGUCUGUGUUUGGAGGAGGAUUUCAUCAGCAGCUUAUCACUGAGGGCGGGAUGGACAGAACCGUACUCAGAUAAAUCCUAGAAGAAAGCCUAAGAGACUCGACUCGGCUGUGGCAGAGUUACGGUAUAUCUUUUAACCAAACCCUCCAGACUUAAUCUGUUCUUUCUAUCCAGUCCGACAGAACUGGAGACAUUUUGCAAAGAAGAACGGGUAAAACAUGACUUUCCCUUGACAAGGAGUGAAGAGGAAUUCAUAUUCCACAGCAGAAAGAACAAAGUAUUUAUGGUCGAAUCCAUGGUGAUUUAGCUUAUCUCCCUAGCUAAAUAAAAUGUAAUGUUUUAUAUCCAUUUUUUUUUCCAAGACAUUCAUCAUUUUAUCAUUCCUGCUUUGCUAAAAUCCCAUCUUUUAUUCUUCUGUCUUCUUCUAUCUUAUUGUCUCUGUUGCUGAUUUAAAAAGGAAAUCGCAACUCACUUAGCCACGAGGAACUGCUCUCUUACUGAAUAAGUUCUCUUACUGAAAUCGACACUGAUGAUUCAGUCCCUCAGGCAUCCGUGAAACUUGUCUAACAAACUUCCUUUCAGCUGGCUCACCCUGGCCUGCGGGGGCGACAGAGGACCGCAGCUGGAAGAGGAGUGUUGAGGAGAGGGAGGAGACGAGGGACACACACUGAGGUCUGGCUUUGAGGAUGUGGGAGAGUCGGCGAUAUCUGCAAACACAACCAGCAGGAAUCAAACCACAGCUCUGUAAACAGUGGAGGUCAAACUGAGGUCUGGAGGAACCUUUCAGAAAGAACCACUAGCGAGAUUUUGCUAGAAAGGCUAAUCAAAGCAUCCUGAUGGUCUGGAAAAUACAUGUAGAUGGAUGGAGUCAUCAGAAGAAAUCACAAGUUUUCUGGAUGAAAAGUUUGCAAAUGAAUAUCGAAUCAAAUGGAAGUUUACAGGACUUGAUUCCAAAAGGGAUCAGACUUGUUUGGUGAAAUAAAGGGAAAGAACACUUCCAUCUCUCCAACUGUUUAAGCAUGGGGUGGAUCCAUCAUGCUUUGGGUUUGUGUUGCAGCCAGUAGCACGGGUAGGAUUUCGCUGGUCGAGGGAAGAAUGGAUUCAAUUAAAUACCAGCAAAUUCUGGAAGCAAACUUCACAAAGCCUGUAAAGAGGCUGGAGAUGAAGAGGAUAGGAUAAUGAGCUUAAACAAUGGACUACCUCAGGAGGCACAAGCUGAAAGUUUUGGCCAUACAGUCCCCGACCUAAACAUCCUCAAAAAUGUGGAUAAACCUCAAAAGAACAAAAUGGCCUAAGUCUGAGUGAAAGGACAAAUGGGUGAAAAUCCUCCAAAGAAGAAUUAAGACUGGCUACAAAAGGCAUUGUGAUGCUUUCCAAAGUGGGUGUCACUGCAGGGUGCGCAAACUUUUUCCUCAGGAACCUUUUUUUUUAAUACGAAGCUCAUCUGCUUGCAAUAUACAGUAGGGCUUCUGGUAUGUUGAGUUACGAACUCGUUCUUAUUUAAAUCUAUUGUCUUCAUCCAAAUGCUGUCUGACAUCCAUAAUG